rnacentral:rRNA from 1 species
AGUGAACGCUGGCGGUAGGCCUAACACAUGCAAGUCGAACGGCAGCACAGUAAGAGCUUGCUCUUACGGGUGGCGAGUGGCGGACGGGUGAGGAAUACAUCGGAAUCUACUUUUUCGUGGGGGAUAACGUAGGGAAACUUACGCUAAUACCGCAUACGACCUACGGGUGAAAGCAGGGGAUCUUCGGACCUUGCGCGAUUGAAUGAGCCGAUGUCGGAUUAGCUAGUUGGCGGGGUAAAGGCCCACCAAGGCGACGAUGCGUAGCUGGUCUGAGAGGAUGAUCAGCCACACUGGAACUGAGACACGGUCCAGACUCCUACGGGAGGCAGCAGUAGGGAAUAUUGGACAAUGGGCGAAAGCCUGAUGCAGCAACGCCGCGUGGGUGAAGAAGGCCUUCGGGUUGUAAAGCCCUGUUGUUGGGAAAGAAAAGCAGUAGGUUAAUACCCCGAUGUUCUGACGGUACCCAAAGAAUAAGCACCGGCUAACUUCGUG